UAAUGUUUUUCAUAUUCAAAUGAGGAAGAUUCAUCGAACAGUUCGUGAAGGCAAUAGAUUGACGAUGGAAAAUCCAUCAACCCUUAUUCAUUGAAGCAGUUCUUGCUUACAGAAGACAGUCGGAACAAGAUGUUUUGAGGGAAAGGCAAAUGCGAGAUAAAGUCUGUGGCCUGCUUGUUCCAUCCCCAUCAAACUGCAGUACUGCUAGAGAUGCACCUCUCAUA